rnacentral:rRNA from 1 species
CAGCCGCCGCGGUAAUACCGGCGGCCCGAGUGGCGGUCACUAUUAUUGGGCUUAAAGCGUCCGUAGCCGGGUUGGGAAGUCCUCCGGGAAAUCUGGCCGCUUAACGGUCAGAAUGCCGGAGGAUACUCCCAGCCUAGGGAGCGGGGGAGGCCGAGGGGAUUCCCGGGGUAGGGGGGAAAUCCUAUAAUCCCGGGAGGACCACCUGUGGCGAAGGCGCUCGGCUGGAACGCGUCCGACGGUGAGGGACGAAGGCCAGGGGAGCAAACCGGAUUAGAUACCCGGGUAGUCCUGGCUGUAAACGAUGCGGACUUUGUGUCGGACAAGCUAUGAGCUUGUCCGGUGCCGGAGGGAAACCGUUAAGUCCGCCGCCUGGGGAGUACGGCCGCAAGGCUGAAACUUAAAGGAAUUGGCGGG